GUCAGUUUGGUCUUGUGGUUAAGGCACCAGGCUAGAAACCAGGAGACCGUGAGUUCUAGUCCCACCUUGGACA
rfam:Ophiophagus hannah scaffold840.1, whole genome shotgun sequence.